ensembl:lncRNA
CCCCAUGUCCCCAUGUGUCUCCAUGUUCCCCCAUGUCCCCAUAUCCCCCCAUGUCCCCACGUCACCCCACAUCACCCCCUGACCCCUUUGGUGGCCACAGAGCCCAUUUGGUGGCCGUGGGGACCCCUUUGGUGGCCACAGAGCCCCUUUGGUGGCCAUAGGGACCCCUUUGGUGGCCACAGAGCCCCUUUGGUGGCCAUAGGGACCCCUUUGGUGGCCACAGAGCCCCUUUGGUGGCCGUGGGGACCCCUUUGGUGGCCACAGAGCCCCUUUGGUGGCCAUAGGACCCCUUUGGUGGCCACAGAGCCCCUUUGGUGGCCGUGGGGACCCCUUUGGUGGCCACAGAGCCCAUUUGGUGGCCAUAGGACCCCUUUGGUGGCCCCACUCUAUGGGGCUGAGCACACCGCUAUGGGGUUGGGAACACCACCUUGGGGUUGGGGACACUGUGGGGCUGAGGACACCGCUAUGGGGCUGGGGACACCGCUAUGGUAUCGGGGACACUGCUAUGGGGCUGGGGAUAUCACUAUGGGGUUGGGGACGCUGUGGGGCUGAGGACACCGCUAUGGGGUCGGGGACACUCUAUGGGGCUGAGCACACUGCUAUGGGUCUGGGGACACCGCUAUGGGGCUGGGGACACUCUAUGGGGUCGGGGACACCGCUAUGGGGCUGGGGAUAUCACUAUGGGGUUGGGGACACUCUAUGGGGCUGAGGACACCGCUAUGGGGUUGGGGACAGCACUAUGGGGUCGGAGACACCGCUAUGGGGCUGAGCACACCGCUAUGGGGCUUGGGAUAUCACUAUGGGGUUGGGGACACUCUAUGGGGUUGGGGACACUGUGGGGCUGAGGACACCGCUAUGGGGCUGGGGACGCCGCUAUGGGGCUGGGGACACUCUGUGUGGGGCAGUGUUCUGUACUGGUCUAUACUGGUCUAUACUGGGAGGUGCCGCCCCCCCCCCCCCAGGUGGCGCUCUCAGUUCCUCUUUCCGACCCCCAAAGGGGAAAUGGGAGGAAAUGGGGGGGGGGGGGGCGCCAAUUUUGGGGUAAAAUCUCCGCUUUUUGGGGCUUUUUGGGCCCCCACUUUGGGGCGAAAAGCGGCCAUUUGGGGGCAGAAGUCCCCAAUUGGGGGCAAAAGACGCUCCUUUUUUGGGGUCAGAACGCUCCAUUUGGGGCAAAAGCUUUAAUUUUCGCUCACCGUUCCCCAAUUUGGGGCCAAAGGCGCCGAUUUUGGGGUGAAAUCUCCCGAUUUUGGGGCCGAAAGGUGGAUUUGGGGGCGGCAUUCCCCCAAUGUGGGGCCGAAUCCGCCCAUUUCGGGGCGAAAAAGAAGGAUUUUGGGGGCAAAACGGCCCCCAAUUCGGGGGGAAAUCCAUCGCUUUUGGGGUCCGUCGCCCCAAUUUGGGGCCAAACCUCCAAUUUUGGGCUCAGAGUGCCCCAAUUUGGGGCAAAAGUGCCCUUUUUUGGACAUUCUGCAUACAUUCGGGGCCAAAUCCCCCCAUUUUGGGGUGAAAUCUCCCAAUUUUGGGGUGAAAUCCCCCUAUUUUGGGGCCAAAUCCCCCAUUUUGGGUGAAAUCCCCCCAUUUUGGGGCCAAAUCCCCCCAAUUUGGGGUGAAAUCCCCUCAUUUUGGGGUGAAAGUCCCCAUUUUGGGGCCAAAUCCCCCAUUUUGGGGUGAAAUCCCCCCAUUUUGGGGUGAAAUCCCCUCAUUUUGGGGCCAAAUCCCCCCAAUUUGGGGCGAAAUCCCCCAUUUUGGGGUGAAAUCCCCCCAUUUUGGGGGCCAAAUCCCCCAUUUUGGGGUGAAAUCCCCCAUUUUGGGGGUCAAACGCCCCCAUUCCGGGGGUGAAAUCUGAAUUUGAGGGCAAAACCCCCCAUUUUGGGGGUCAGAAUUGGCGCCAUUUGGGGCCAAAAGGGCUCCAAUUUGGGGCCGUGCGGAAAUGGCGCCAAUUCCUCAGAACGUGAUUGGCCAACGGAGGGGGCGGGGCUUUUGGAGGGGGGGCGUGGCUACACGGUAGCCCCACCCCCCCGUGUGGGGGGGGGGGUCUUAAAGGGGCCGCGCCCCAAUAUUCAAUGGGGUCCCCAAAUCCCCCCCCGGAUUUUCGUGGUCCCCCAUUCGAAUUAAUUAAUUAAUUUCCUGGAAACUGAUCGG